ACCAAAUAGAUACCCCGGUAGUCCACGCCCUAAACGAUGCGAACUGGAUGUUGGGUACAUUACGGUACUCAGUGUCGAAAGCCAAACGCGUUAAGUUCGCCGCCUGGGGAGUACGGUCGCAAGACUGAAACUCAAAGGAAUUGACGGGGGCCCGCACUAGCGGUGGAGUAUGUGGUUUAAUUCGAUGCAACGCGAAGAACCUUACCUGGCCUUGACAUCUGUCGAAUCCUGCAGAGAUGCGGGAGUGCCGCAAGGAACGACAAGACAGGUGCUGCAUGGCUGUCGUCAGCUCGUGUCGUGAGAUGUUGGGUUAAGUCCCGCAACGAGCGCAACCCUUGUCCCUAGUUGCCAGCACGUAAUGGUGGGAACUCUAGGGAGACUGCCGGUGACAAACCGGAGGAAGGUGGGGAUGACGUCAAGUCCUCAUGGCCCUUACGGCCAGGGCUACACACGUACUACAAUGGUCGGUACAGA
rnacentral:rRNA from 1 species